AACGAACGCUGGCGGCAGGCUUAACACAUGCAAGUCGAGCGCCCCGCAAGGGGAGCGGCAGACGGGUGAGUAGCGCGUGGGAAUCUACCAAUAUCUACGGAAUAACGUAUGGAAACGAGUGCUACUACCGGAUACGUCCUUCGGGAGAAAGUUUUAUCGGAGAUGGAUGGGCCCGCGUUGGUUUAGAUAGUUGGUGGGGUAAAGGCCUACCAAGGCGACGAUCCAUAGCUGGUCUGAGAGGAUGAUCAGCCACACUGGGACUGAGACACGGCCCAGACUCCUACGGGAGGCAGCAGUGGGGAAUAUUGGACAAUGGGCGCAAGCCUGAUCCAGCCAUGCCGCGUGAGUGAUGAAGGCCCUAGGGUUGUAAAGCUCUUUCACCGGUGAAGAUAAUGACGGUAACCGGAGAAGAAGCCCCGGCUAACUUCGUGCCAGCAGCCGCCGUAACAC
rnacentral:rRNA from 1 species